rnacentral:rRNA from 1 species
GACGAACGCUGGCGGCGUGCUUAACACAUGCAAGUCGAACGGAAAGGCCCUGCUUUUGUGGGGUGCUCGAGUGGCGAACGGGUGAGUAACACGUGAGUAACCUGCCCUUGACUUUGGGAUAACUUCAGGAAACUGGGGCUAAUACCGGAUAGGAGCUCCUGCUGCAUGGUGGGGGUUGGAAAGUUUCGGCGGUUGGGGAUGGACUCGCGGCUUAUCAGCUUGUUGGUGGGGUAGUGGCUUACCAAGGCUUUGACGGGUAGCCGGCCUGAGAGGGUGACCGGAAAAAUGGGGAAGGGGGAAAGGGCAGAAGGACGAGGGGGGGAAAGGGGGGGGAAGAUUAAAAAAGGGGGGGAAGCAGUAGGAAGAAACGGCGGGGGGGGGAGGACGGCUUUGGGGUUGGAAACCGCUUGAGCCUGGGAAGAAGGGGAAGGGAGGGGAAUGGGGAAAGAAGCAAGGGCAAACUACGU